GUCAUGGUUAGAAUUACCUUGGCUAUGUUCCUUGAUACUUAAGUUUUUGAUGCUUGCUUAUUUUCUGAGACUUGUUCUCUAUGAAUAUUUGAAGUAAUCCCUAUUCAUUCAGGAAAGUAAUUUCUGCUUAAAUUCUCCAGAUUCAGUAUUGUUCCUGAGGGGAAAGUACAAACCAACACUGGUGAAGAAAUUAUUUGGCAAAAACAUGGUGCAUAGUGGCUAAUUAUGGAAACAAGAAUUCUGAAGCAUAAUUAUGGACAAGUCAAAAUCUAGCAGCUCGGGCAUUUAAGGGUGCUAAAGAUUAGAUGAAGCUGGUCAUAAGUCUUACGAAAGAUCAGCAAAAACAGUAACAGUGAAAAUAAGACAGCACCAACAGUGGAAGGAGAGGAGAAGAGAGAACCAAACGCUGGAACAUAGGUUGAAAGCUUUUGUGGUGCUGCCUGUCACCCCUAAAGUAAGUACACAAGUUAAACCAUCCCUGGGGCUUGCCUCAUGAGAUCAGACUAUUAAGGCGAGGUUUAGAGACUAGCUUAUUUAUUGUCUGCAAUUUAUUGCUUCUUUUUGUAACUAAAACAUAUUGACAUUUUCCCUUUUUUACUUUUAAACUAAGGUUAUAAAAGUAAUCUGAAUUGCAUAUUAGCUCCUUUAUACCCUCACG
rnacentral:lncRNA from 1 species